UAUCAAGUGAGCCUUCAAGUUCUGACACAAUGUCGAACAUCCCUCUUUAAGCGAAAGUCUGGUUGGCAAUAUGACUAGCCACCCAGCAUGUAUUACUUUCCUUUUUUUAGAAGCUCAAGGUUGUUGGUAAAUUUCUACCAAGCAAUGAUUUGUGAGCUCUAGUGAGAAUACAAACAUUGAGGUGGGGGUGGAGAUGCGGGUCAUCAGGAGACGGGAAGCACUGCAGUCGAUGCAGAGCACCGGCAAUGGCGCUGUUAUCCUCGCACGAUUCGUCAGAUCCAACCUUGCGCCCGUGCCAGCUUUUGAUGGGGCCGUCACUGCAGGGAUGCCCAUGCUCACCGACCACUAGCGCUCCAUUGUGGUGCUCAGCCUCUGCAACUGCGGCCCAAUGAGUUUGGUAAUGCAAGAAGACGCAUGUCUUCAAUAGUGGACGUAAUGCACCAAAGGAAAUACAGUAUAUAAUGUUUGGAUUGACAGGUGGCGAACAGGUUCACACGGCACCGGCUGAACCACCGAUCCAUGACGGCCUCCGCGUUUGCAUGCCUGCUAGCCGCCGAGGUGGAGGACCAUGCAGAAGCUGGUGAGUUUGAUGAACCAGCAGCCGAAGGCGCAUUCAUCAUAUGGAAUGUUUCAAUACUUUGUUAAGGUUGUUCCCACUGUAUUCUCAUUCCUCUCCAAUUAUGGGGCCGUUCUGCAAUGCUCCAGCUCCAAGCUUCCUCAACUUCACAAAUGAAGCUGAGGCGAACGCUCUGGCUCCUGGAAGCUGGAAUUGAGAAGCUAGCGAUCUGUCUUAGUGUAAAAAAGGAGAAGAUGGGGAAGCAGCUCUUUUCCAGAUCCG